rnacentral:misc_RNA from 1 species
GAAAAACUCCAAAGAAACAAAAAAUGCAAUUAAAACUACCAUAACUCAAAAUUUUUAUACAAAUCACUGAUCUAGUAUAAAGAUCGUGGCAUACCUAAACUACCACAACUCAUCUGGUCAGAUGAAUGGAUAAAAACAGAAAAGGCCCUCAAAGGUAGUGACCAUACAUGUAAUUAAUAAAAUAACCAUUUCUCAUCUUGUAAUUUACAGGGAAAAAAACACAUCACAGAUCCCUUCUGCACAAUGGGCAAGAUGCAUGCCUAAGGAGCCACUUAUCUAUGCAUGGUAGGUGGAACAUGUGAUGACAAUGAGGCAAG